GGUUGUAUAAAAUACGCGGCCGAGCGAUGUUCUGAUGUCUUGUUAAUGCUUCUGUAGUAUUCGUCGUCAGAUUUUGUAAACAUGAUGUUUGGGGCAGUUAUCCUUGUUUGCCUGUGUUUCCUGGCUAUUGCGGACUCUAAGCAGGCCAGGGCCGUUCCACUUAAGACUGAUACUGUUAAAUCGACUGACUAUUCACCUGACGAUGGACUAAUGAAGCUUAUAAACAGUCUUGUGAAUGGAAGAACAAAACGAGAACUGAUCAAAAGAGGACGAAAACAUGGCCAAUGUCCGCCAUAUUGCGGAGGUAGUCGCGGAUGACAAUUGACACAACACCAAGACGCUUCAUAAAUGUCAAUGACUCCAAUCGGAAGACGGAGGAUGUCGGCUCUAUCAGAAAGAAUACAUAUUGAACUGUAAAAUCCAUUAAACCAUUAAAUAAGCUCUGAGAAAGGAAUUUUUAAUUAAGAAUAAUUUUAAAUUUCUCCUAUAAUUUCUGAAUACAGCUAUCAAAUAAACUGAUUGUUUUUGUUUUAUUGUUUUAAGUGAUUAUAAUUCAUCUCUGUUAUAAAACUACUUGACUGUAUCCAUACAUAGUUAUAUAUCGGCUGUAUUUUGUGUUUUUUAUUUUGCAUUCGUUCUUUACAAUGUUUCAUUAUAUGUG